GAUGAACGCUAGCUACAGGCUUAACACAUGCAAGUCGAGGGGAAACGACAUCGAAAGCUUGCUUUUGGUGGGCGUCGACCGGCGCACGGGUGAGUAACGCGUAUCCAACCUGCCCACCACUUGGGGAUAACCUUGCGAAAGUAAGACUAAUACCCAAUGAUAUCCCACGAAGGCAUCGGAAUGGGAUUAAAGAUUUAUCGGUGAUGGAUGGGGAUGCGUCUGAUUAGCUUGUUGGCGGGGUAACGGCCCACCAAGGCAACGAUCAGUAGGGGUUCUGAGAGGAAGGUCCCCCACAUUGGAACUGAGACACGGUCCAAACUCCUACGGGAGGCAGCAGUGAGGAAUAUUGGUCAAUGGGCGAGAGCCUGAACCAGCCAAGUAGCGUGCAGGACGACGGCCCUAUGGGUUGUAAACUGCUUUUAUAAGGGAAUAAAGUGGGUCACGUGUGACUUUUUGCAUGUACCUUAUGAAUAAGGACCGGCUAAUUCCGUG
rnacentral:rRNA from 1 species